rnacentral:rRNA from 1 species
AUUGAACGCUGGCGGCAUGCCUUACACAUGCAAGUCGAACGGUAGCAGGUCUUCGGAUGCUGACGAGUGGCGAACGGGUGAGUAAUACAUCGGAACGUGCCUAGUAGUGGGGGAUAACUACUCGAAAGAGUGGCUAAUACCGCAUGAGAUCUACGGAUGAAAGCAGGGGAUCGCAAGACCUUGUGCUACUAGAGCGGCCGAGGGCAGAUUAGGUAGUUGGUGGGAUAAAAGCUUACCAAGCCGACUAUCUGUAGCUGGUCUGAGAGGACGAUCAGCCACACUGGGACUGAGACACGGCCCAGACUCCUACGGGAGGCAGCAGUGGGGAAUUUUGGACAAUGGGCGCAAGCCUGAUCCAGCAAUGCCGCGUGCAGGAUGAAGGCCUUCGGGUUGUAAACUGCUUUUGUACGGAACGAAAAGCCCCGGGUUAAUACCCUGGGGUCAUGACGGUACCGUAAGAAUAAGCACCGGCUAACUACGUGCCAGCCGCCGCAGUAA